UACGUAGGGUGCGAGCGUUGUCCGGAAUUAUUGGGCGUAAAGGGCUCGUAGGCGGUCUGUUACGUCAGGAGUGAAAACUCGGGGCUCAACCCCGAGCCUGCUUCUGAUACGGGCAGACUGGAGGUAUGCAGGGGAGAACGGAAUUCCUGGUGUAGCGGUGAAAUGCGUAGAUAUGCGGAGGAACACCGGUGGCGAAGGCGGUUCUCUGGGCAUUACCUGACGCUGAGGAGCGAAAGUGUGGGGAGCGAACAGG
rnacentral:rRNA from 1 species